UACGUAGGGGGCAAGCGUUGUCCGGAAUCAUUGGGCGUAAAGAGCGUGUAGGCGGUUCGGUAAGUCGGCUGUGAAAGUCCAGGGCUCAACCCUGGGAUGCCGGUCGAUACUGCCGGACUAGAGUUCGGAAGAGGCGAGUGGAAUUCCCGGUGUAGCGGUGAAAUGCGCAGAGUAAUCGGGAGGAACACCUAUGGCGAAGGCAGCUCGCUGGGACGUUAACUGACGCUGGAGACGCGAAAGCGUGGGGAGCAAAACAGG
rnacentral:rRNA from 1 species